rnacentral:rRNA from 1 species
CAUUCACGGAGAGUUUGAUCCUGGCUCAGGACGAACGCUGGCGGCGUGCUUAACACAUGCAAGUCGAACGAUGAAGCCCUUCGGGGUGGAUUAGUGGCGAACGGGUGAGUAACACGUGGGCAAUCUGCCCUGCACUCUGGGACAAGCCCUGGAAACGGGGUCUAAUACCGGAUAUGACCGUCCAUCGCAUGG